UACGUAGGGGGCAAGCGUUGUCCGGAUUUAUUGGGCGUAAAGAGCGUGUAGGCGGCCAUACAGGUCCGUUGUGAAAACUGGAGGCUUAACCUCCAGACGUCGAUGGAAACCGUAUGGCUAGAGUCCGGAAGAGGAGAGUGGAAUUCCUGGUGUAGCGGUGAAAUGCGCAGAUAUCAGGAAGAACACCCGUGGCGAAGGCGGUGCUCUGGGCCAGUACUGACGCUGAGGAGCGAAAGCGUGGGGAGCAAACAGG
rnacentral:rRNA from 1 species